rnacentral:rRNA from 1 species
GAGUUUGAUCAUGGCUCAGAACGUACGCUGGCGGCACGCCUAACACAUGCAAGUCGAACGAAGUAGCAAUACUUAGUGGCAGACGGGUGAGUAGCAUGUAGGUAUCUGCCCUUUGGCCUGGAAUAACACGAGGAAACUUGUGCUAAUACCGGAUAAGUCUUUACGGAGAAAGCUUUAUGCACCAUUGGAUGAGCCUGCACUUGAUUAGUUUGUUGGUGGGGUAAUGGCCUACCAAGACUGUGAUCAAUAGCUGAUUUGAGAGGAUGAUCAGCCACAUUGGGACUGAGACACGGCCCAAACUCCUACGGGAGGCAGCAGUGGGGAAUCUUGCACAAUGGAGGAAACUCUGAUGCAGCGAUGCCGCGUGAGUGAAGAAGGCCCUUGGGUUGUAAAGCUCUUUCGUCGGGGAAGAAAAUGACUGUACCCGAAUAAGAAGGUCCGGCUAACUUCGUGCCAGCAGCCGCGGUAAUACGAAGGGACCUAGCGUAGUUCGGAAUUACUGGGCUUAAAGAGUUCGUAGGUGGUUGAAAAAGUUAGUGGUGAAAUCCCAGAGCUUAACUCUGGAACUGCCAUUAAAACUUUUCAGCUAGAGUAUGAUAGAGGAAAGCAGAAUUUCUAGUGUAGAGGUGAAAUUCGUAGAUAUUAGAAAGAAUACCAAUUGCGAAGGCAGCUUUCUGGAUCAUUACUGACACUGAGGAACGAAAGCAUGGGUAGCGAAGAGGAUUAGAUACCCUCGUAGUCCAUGCCGUAAACGAUGUGUGUUAGACGUUGGAAAUUUAUUUUCAGUGUCGCAGGGAAACCGAUAAACACACCGCCUGGGGAGUACGACCGCAAGGUUAAAACUCAAAUGAAUUGACGGGGACCCGCACAAGUAGUGGAGCAUGUGGUUUAAUUCGAAGAUACGCGCAGAACCUUACCAACACUUGACAUGUUCGUCGCGACUCUAAGAGAUUAGAGUUUUCGGUUCGGCCGGACGAAACACAGGUGCUGCAUGGCUGUCGUCGGCUCGUGUCGUGAGAUGUUGGGUUAAGUCCCGCAACGAGCGCAACCCUCACUUUUAGUUGCCAUCAUUAAGUUGGGCACUCUGAAAGAACUGCCAGUGAUAAGCUGGAGGAAGGUGGGGAUGACGUCAAGUCCUCAUGGCCCUUACGUGUUGGGCUACACACGUGCUACAAUGGUAUCUACAACAGGAAGCAAGACUGCGAAGUUAAGCAAAUCCCUAAAAGAUACCUCAGUUCGGAUUGCACUCUGCAACUCGAGUGCAUGAAGCUGGAAUUACUAGUAAUCGUGGAUCAGCGUGCCACGGUGAAUGCGUUCCCGGGUCUUGUACACACCGCCCGUCACACCAUGGGAGUUGGUUCUACCUUAAGGCAAGGUUUUAAACCCUUGACCACGGUAUAGUCAGCGACUGGGGUGAAGUCGUAACAAGGUAACC